rnacentral:tRNA from 1 species
GGGGUUGUGGCUCAGUGGUUGAGCGCUUGCCUCUUGUGCAUGAGGCCCUGGGUUGGAUCCUCAGCACCA